UAAUUUCUGUAAAGGCCAUGAGCCUGUAAAUGUCACACCUUCAGGUCACUCUAUUCUGAGGGAUUUGCUAUAGGCCAUUUGCAAAGCUCAUCUAUGCUGUCAUUCUGCAACAAAAGAAAUUACCUUGUAGUCUCGCUUUGAUUCUAGUGGCACUAAUUUCUCCUCAUGGUAUCCCAGCCCUGCAACACUGGUUGCUUUGCUGGAGGGUGUACUAGAGGUAAUGCUGUGGCCAAGGAGACUUCAGUAGAUCCCUUCAAGGGGGGCCUCACUGUGACUCACCCAUAAUAUAAACCGUAGCCACUUCACUUGCAUUACAAUUUACUAUCACACACUGCAGAGAACUGGGGAUGAGCUGCUUUUUCUCUGGUGGCUGAGGACAAGACAGUCUGCAGCAGUGGAUAUGCUUGUGUGUUGGGAUUUUUGCUAUUGCUUGGCGACAGCUGAAAUAAAAAUAAUGAGUCAGACUGAAGACAAACAGAUGGUGAAGUGUUUUCCCCUCGCCGGCAUGAACUAAGUUGGCUUGACAAGGGAUAGGGGCUGGAUCUGAGCUGCAGCACAGGACAUGAUCCAAGCGAGCGUGCUGCAUCUGGUGCGUGGACUCUGAGGGGACAGCUCCUUCAUAGAGAUGGCCCCAUGUGUCUGAAGGAAGCCAGUGCGUCCCUGCAUGCAGGGGCAGUGUGUGCAGAUACAUAACAGUGUCAGCCCUGGUACUGGGAACCUCAUGCUCUGUCCUUGCAAAUAAAUCUGUCAUUUUUCCCCCA